rnacentral:rRNA from 1 species
AUUGAACGCUGGCGGCAGGCCUAACACAUGCAAGUCGAGCGGAGCGGCGGACGGGUGAGUAAUGCCUAGGAAUCUGCCUGGUAGUGGGGGAUAACGUCCGGAAACGGGCGCUAAUAUCGCAUACUAUCAGAUGAGCCUAGGUCGGAUUAGCUAGUUGGUGGGGUAAAGGCCUACCAGGGCGACGAUCCGUAACUGGGCUGAGCGGAUGAUCAGUCACAGUGGAACUGGGACAGGGACCAGACCGCUACGGAAGGCAGCAGUGGGGAAUAUUGACCAAUGGGCGAAAUCCGUAUCCAGCCAUGCCGGGUGUGUGACGAAGGUCUUCGGAUUGUAAAGGCCGUUAAGUUGGGAGGCGUUACCAACAGAAUAAGCACCGGCUAACUUCGUGCCAGCAGCCGCGGUAAUAC